AGUUUAGUAGUUGGACUUAGGGAACAAAGGAACCUUUAAUAGAAAUUGGACAGCAAGAAAGCGAGCUUAGUGAUACUUGUGAGCCAGGGCCUCACCACCAACUUCAUCCACGUUCACCUUGCCCCACAGGGCAGUAACGGCAGACUUCUCCUCAGGAGUCAGAUGCACCAUGGUGUCUGUUUGAGGUUGCUAGUGAACACUGUUAUGUCAGAAGAAAGUGUAAGCAACAGUCGACUCUGCCCUGCCUUUUAUGCUG
rnacentral:lncRNA from 1 species